AAGCGUGCUGUGAAACGCCGUGGCUCAACCUCAUCCCGCCGUUGAAACUGCGUUUCUUGAGUGGGCGAGAAGUACGCGGAAUGCGUGGUGUAGCGGUGAAAUGCAUAGAUAUCACGCAGAACUCCGAUUGCGAAGGCAGCGUACCGGCGCCCAACUGACGCUCAUGCACGAAAGCGUGGGUAUCGAA
rnacentral:rRNA from 1 species